UACGAAGGGGGCUAGCGUUGCUCGGAAUCACUGGGCGUAAAGGGUGCGUAGGCGGGUUUUUAAGUCAGGGGUGAAAUCCUGGAGCUCAACUCCAGAACUGCCUUUGAUACUGAAGAUCUUGAGUCCGGGAGAGGUGAGUGGAACUGCGAGUGUAGAGGUGAAAUUCGUAGAUAUCAGGAGGAACACCGGUGGCGAAGGCGGCUGUCUGGACGACAACUGACGCUGAGACGCGAAAGCGUGGGUAGCAAACAGG
rnacentral:rRNA from 1 species